rnacentral:rRNA from 1 species
GUCUAUGGCCAUACCACCCUGAGCGUACCCCAUCUCCUCUGAUCUCGGAAGCUCAGCAGGAUCGGGCCUGGUUAGUACUUGGAUGGGAGAAUAGGAAAGCCUUUCCAGGCA